rnacentral:rRNA from 1 species
AUUGAACGCUAGCGGGAUGCUUUACACAUGCAAGUCGAACGAGUGGCGGACGGGUGAGUAAUACAUCGUAACGUUCCCAGUAGCGGGGGAUAACUACUCGAAAGAGUGUCCAAUAUCGCAUACUAUUGGAGCGGCCGAUCUCGGAUUAGCUAGUUGGUGGGGUAAAGGCUCACUAGGGCAACGAUCCGUAGCGGGUUUGAGAGGACGACCAGCCACACUGGGACGGAGAAACGGCCAAGACUCCUACGGGAGGCAGCAGGGGGGAAUUUUGGACAAUGGGGGAAACCCUGUGGCAGCCAUCCGGCGUGUAGGAGAAGGCCUUCGGGUUGUAAAGUACUUUUGGCAGAGAAGCGGUAUCGGCAGAAUAAGCACCGGCUAACUACGUGCCAGCAGCCGCGGUAAUAC